UAGUAAUCACCGACAUCAUUCAUUUCUCAAAUCUUUUCUUCUCCUUCUGUUGCAUGCACAGUCAGAAGUAGUUUGGUCCAAAAAGAAACUAAAGUUGCUUAUAUGUGAUGAAACAAGUUUGGUCCAAAAAGAAACUAAAGUUGCUUAUAUGUGAUGGAACAUGAUUUAUGCUGACACUUGAAGAUGUUCCCUUACAUUUAAGGGUUAUCUGAUUUUGCAUUUUGCAGUAAUGGGUCUAUCAGGGAGACAAUCACUCAUGUUUCUUUAUCUUAGGGCUUCAGUAGAUGGGUGUUCAGUUUCUUUCUUUUGUGGCUCCUAUAGCAAACUUCUUUCUUUUGUGGCUCCGGUAGCAAACCUUAAACUGGAAAGUGCACUUCCUUUAUUUUAUCUAGUUUUGUCUGCUGCAGAUACAUAUAUCUAGUGGGAAGUUCUUUGUUAGUAACUAAUUAGAAGGUUCACACUCUUCCAUGUGUUUUGUUUGUUAGUGUCUUUUUUUAUAUUAUUUGGUUCUAUUACACUUUCAUGGAAGUAGCAACCCAAAGACAUAUAAGUCCUUGUCAUUUGCACAACUAAAAAUGAAUUUCUCUUCGACAAACAAAUAACCAACUGGAUUUCCUAAACAAUUAUGACUGGCCUCUUAUUCUUCUUUUCUUUUGAAUAUCUUUUCUUUGUAUCAUGUUCAUCAUGUUUGUAAAUCAACCAACUCCUUACCACCCAUUACUAAAUGAUGUUAGUGCGAUGCAACCAACUCCUAAUCAUGUGUGUUAAAAAUGAUUUAACACAAAUAUGACUACAUAAAACCUAUGAUGAGAUCCCUCCAUUGUGGAGGUUUCACUUCCCUUCCUGUAUUACUGGGGUAGUAGUACUCUAUUUGUAGGAACAUGCGUGAAACUAAAACCAAAUGAAACUUAGCACUUAUAUAAAUAGAAGUUGUGGUAAUAUAAUGGAUUUAAAGCUGAAUGUAUGGUGAGAUGGUUAGGGAUUGGUGGAUAACAUCAAAACUCUUUGAAUCUGCGCCUCACUUGUAACAAGGAAUCUUAUAUAUGGAAGUCUAAGUGGUUAGGGAGCUAUAGUGGAUGGGAGCGGUUGGGCAAAGAUAGAUGUUUAAGCUUCCUUUCUUUUGGUCCCCCAACGGCGAUUGCAAUAUUGAUAAACAUAAGUUGAAGUGCGUUAUCCUCUCUCAUAUAGAAGUUGAAGUGUUAGUGAGAAAAGUAAACCUCCCUACCUUUUUAAUUGUUUUGGAACUAUUGACACAUCAGUUGAGCAUGCUUUUAGCUUUUGUUUGGAGCGGGAAGUUUGGGGGAUAAUUCUUGAUGUGUAUUGGAGCAUUUCCUGACUUGCAAUGCUCCCCUGACAAGAGGUAGAUAACAUUGUUAAGAACACGAAUUAGGAAACAAACUACAUCAGAAAUGGUGAGCAAAAAAGAGGACUUGACAAACGGGCAUAUGAGAAACAGAUAAACACAACAAACUUGCAAAACUACAAACAAAUGUACAUAUUUCAUUACUAAAUCAUAUUUGUUUUGGAAGACUUUAGUGCAGUUUUCCAUAAAGGAAAAACCGAUGAAAACAUUGUUUACAAGUGCAAGAGAGAGAGGGGGGUAUUAUGUUUUGUCAUCUUGCCAUUUUAGGAAUUUCUCCUUUUUCUUCUUUUUAGCAUUAUUUAGGGUCUAAUAUGUAUGAAAAAUGGUGUAGAAGAACCAAUUUGUAAAGAUGCCCAAGAAAUGUCGCACAAUUCUUAGAAUCCAUGUCAUGUAUAGAGUAAUCAAGUUUGCUCGAUAUUGAGAAAAUUGAUGACAAGGUCAGGGAUACUUGGUUCGUGGUACGUGGCGUCGAACCGCGAACCCGGUUCGUCCCCGAUCCACGAACCGCGAACCCGGUUCGUCCCCGAUCCACGGUGGUUCCCCACCCGGAUCCCAAGAUGUGACGAACCCUUUUAGUUUACUAUAGAUAUGAAUUUUUACUGAAAACAUAUUGGGGCUUUUGGUCUCGCUGGUGAGGCGAAUCUUGUGAUUGUUAUCUCGUACUUUUCGAUGGUCAGAAAAUGGUCGAAAGCAUAGAAUGAUGGCCGCAAAAAUUCCGGGUGAAUGUGAGGACUGAGGAGAGAGAACAUGUUGGGGGGUGGGGCCGUGGGGGGUGAAGAGCUAAAGAAUAUUUUAAGAAAAAGGAAAGUGGGCCUAGGGCCUAGGCACUUCAAUAAAAAUAUUAGUAGUAGUAGACUGAUUGGGUAUAUGUGUCGCAUGAUUUUUAUUAGCAAUAUUUUCAAAAAGCAACUUCCUUUCAUCCCUUUUUUUGUGUUUGACAACUACCUUUUUUUAUUUUUUUAUAACAUCUUUCACCUUCCACAAAGACUUCCACCUCAUAAAUACCAAGUACCCUACUACUUUUUGGCCAGUUACAAAGGACACAAUUACUAUUUUUAAAAAAUUACUGAAAAAAGAACACAACGUUCUGGGUUCUUUAGAAGUUGCGUUCCGCUUUCCGCUUUCCCAUAUUGUGUUCCGCUUGAAUCCGCGUUCCGUAUAGCAUUGGACAAGGUACUUACAGAUGAAAUUUGGUGGGUAUUAACACAUAAGGGUAUCUUGCAAAUAUAUUAACAUAAUUAAGGAUAUGAACAAGGAUGUAAUAACAAAUGAUAGAACAUGUCCAAGGUGUCACAAAAUAUUCCCGUUACUGUUAGGUUACACCAAAAAUCCAGAAUUAUUU